rnacentral:rRNA from 1 species
UUUUGCCCUUAGUAGCGGCGAGUGAAGCGGCAAAAGCUCAAAUUUGAAAUCUGGCGCCUUCGGUGUCCGAGUUGUAAUUUGAAGAUUGUAACCUUGGGGUUGGCUCUUGUCUAUGUUUCUUGGAACAGGACGUCACAGAGGGUGAGAAUCCCGUGCGAUGAGAUGCCCAAUUCUAUGUAAGGUGCUUUCGAAGAGUCGAGUUGUUUGGGAAUGCAGCUCUAAGUGGGUGGUAAAUUCCAUCUAAAGCUAAAUAUUGGCGAGAGACCGAUAGCGAACAAGUACAGUGAUGGAAAGAUGAAAAGAACUUUGAAAAGAGAGUGAAAAAGUACGUGAAAUUGUUGAAAGGGAAGGGUUUGAGAUCAGACUCGAUAUUUUGUGAGCCUUGCCUUCGUGGCGGGGUGACCCGCAGCUUAUCGGGCCAGCAUCGGUUUGGGCGGUAGGAUAAUGGCGUAGGAAUGUGACUUUACUUCGGUGAAGUGUUAUAGCCUGCGUUGAUGCUGCCUGCCUAGACCGAGGACUGCGAUUUUAUCAAGGAUGCUGGCAUAAUGAUCCCAAACCGC